GAAAAGAAGAGAACAGAGAGAGCGAGUGUAUUGAAAGGCCGUCACCAGAAGCACAUUGUGACGUCAAACCCAGAAACUUUUUACAAUUCACCACCACUGCCACCACCACACCACCACCACCUCCGCCACCGCGUCCUGUGUGUGUGUGUGUGCGUGUGUGAUUCAACAGUUGGUACAAGGGAAGGCUGUUCGUUUAUUGCUUCAGGCUCGGUUCUGAGGCUUGUUUACUGGCCGUGUCGUAUCUCCCUUUCCUCCACGCUGCGGAUCAAAACAAAGUUACCGCAAAAAAAAAAAAAAAAACUCCACCAAAUCUUAUAAACUUCCACCUAACCCACACUCCACAUCCAAGCCUCUCAUCACACACUAAAUUAUUCCUCAUGCCUUAAGAAAACCUACUAUACUCAGCCGUAAAACCGUAAAGGGCUCAUAGCGAAGGAGUGCAAAUAGAUAAAUGUCAAGGGAAGUGAUAUGCCGGGCUAUAAUCAUGAAAUCUGGAUCGUGAAGUCAAGUUGCCGCAAACGCUUGACGCCGCUUUCUUGUUUACAUCCCGCGGCGCGCACGUGGAGCUGCCGCGGGGGGAGAGGGACUGUUUUAUGGUGAGGUGUGUUAGUGUUGAGUAUGUGAAAAAAGAAAAGAAGGAAGUGAGUGAUGAAGAGGAAAAACAAGAGGAAAUGAAGUCCACUGUUAAUAUACGUGAUGAAAUUUCCUGAGUACUAGACACACCUGAGACUCGCCACACCCAGGCACAGCGGCCAGCCACGCGUCAGCCUACCUCGGAAAAUUAAUAGGCUGAGUAAAACUGGUUAUGCAGAGUGGAGGACAACAGGCUCUUUAGUCAUGAUAGCAUCGGCAUUCUGCACCACCACCACCCACCACCACCACCACCACCACCACCACCACCACCACCACUUCGCUU